rnacentral:rRNA from 1 species
AAAAGCAGGGGAUCGCAAGACCUUGCGCUUUUGGAGCGGCCGAUGUCUGAUUAGCUAGUUGGUGAGGUAAAGGCUUACCAAGGCUUCGAUGAGUAGCUGGUCUGAGAGGACGACCAGCCACACUGGGACUGAGACACGGCCCAGACUCCUACGGGAGGCAGCAGUGGGGAAUUUUGGACAAUGGGGGCAACCCUGAUCCAGCCAUGCCGCGUGAGUGAAGAAGGCCUUCGGGUUGUAAAGCUCUUUCAGCCGGAACGAAACGGUCACGGUUAAUAACUGUGAUCACUGACGGUACCGGAAGAAGAAG